rnacentral:tRNA from 1 species
AAAGAAGUAUUUUAUAGAAAGCUUCUAACUUUUUUGAAAGCUUUAAGUAGCUUAU